UACGUAGGGUCCGAGCGUUGUCCGGAAUUACUGGGCGUAAAGAGCUCGUAGGUGGUUUGUCGCGUUGUUCGUGAAAACUCACAGCUCAACUGUGGGCGUGCGGGCGAUACGGGCAGACUGGAGUACUGCAGGGGAGACUGGAAUUCCUGGUGUAGCGGUGAAAUGCGCAGAUAUCAGGAGGAACACCGAUGGCGAAGGCAGGUCUCUGGGCCAUAACUGACGCUGAGAAGCGAAAGCAUGGGGAGCGAACAGG
rnacentral:rRNA from 1 species